rnacentral:rRNA from 1 species
CUUGGUCAUUUAGAGGAAGUAAAAGUCGUAACAAGGUUUCCGUAGGUGAACCUGCGGAAGGAUCAUUAUUGAAAUAAACCUGAUGGGUUGUUUCUGGUUCUCUAGGGGGCAUGUGCACACCUUGUCAUCUUUAUAUCUCCACCUGUGCACUUUUUGUAGACCUUUCAGGUCUAUGUUGCUUCAUUUACCCCAAUGUAUGUUAAUAGAAUGUUGUGCCUAUAUAAUAUAUACAACUUUCAGCAACGGAUCUCUUGGCUCUCGCAUCGAUGAAGAACGCAGCGAAAUGCGAUAAGUAAUGUGAAUUGCAGAAUUCAGUGAAUCAUCGAAUCUUUGAACGCACCUUGCGCUCCUUGGUAUUCCGAGGAGCAUGCCUGUUUGAGUGUCAUUAAUAUAUCAACCUUCUCUUUUUUGAGUUGUUUGGAUGUGGGGGUUUGCUGGCCUCUUAAAUGAUUCAGCUCCCCUGAAAUGCAUUAGCAGAACAACCUGUUCAUUGGCGUGAUAAUUAUCUAUGCUAUUGAAUGUGAGGGCAGUUCAGCUUUCUAACCGUCCUCGGACAAUUCAUCAUUAAUGUGACCUCAAAUCAGGUAGGACUACCCGCUGAACUUAAGCAUAUCAAUAAGCGGAGGA